rnacentral:rRNA from 1 species
UACAGAGGUGGCAAGCGUUGUUCGGAAUUACUGGGCGUAAAGGGCGCGUAGGCGGCCCGUCAAGUCCCGUGUGAAAGCCCCCGGCUCAACCGGGGAACGGCGCGGGAAACUAGCAGGCUUGAGUUCGGGAGAGGGAAGCGGAAUUCCGGGUGUAGCGGUGGAAAUGCGCAGAUAUCGGGGAGGAACACCUAUGGCGAAGGCAGCUCGCUGGGGACGUUACUGACGCUGAGGGGACGAAAGCUAGGGGAGCGAACGGGG